rnacentral:rRNA from 1 species
GAGCAAACAAGAUUAGAUAGCGUGAUAGUCCACACAGUAAACGAUGAUCAUUAGGUGUAGCGGGUAUUGACACGUGGUGUGUCGUAGCUACCGCAUUAAGUGCUCCUCACGGGGAGUACGGCCGCAAGGAUAAAACUCAAAGGAAUUGACGGAGUCACGCACAAGCGGUGGAGCACGCGCUAUAAUUCGACGCAACGCGAAGAACCUUACCUGGGUUUGACAUCCCGCGUCCGCCCGAGAAACCGGGUUUACCGAGCUGACAGGGACAGGGUGACAGGGGUUGCAUGGCGGUGGUCAGCUUGUGUCGUGAGAUGUUGGGUUAAGUCCCGCAACGAGCGCAACCCUUUUCUUUAGUUGCCAGUAUUCAGUUAGGCACUGUAAAGAGACCGCCUCGGCUACCGGGGAGGAAGGUGGGGAAGAUGUCAAGUCCUCAUGGCCUUUAUGCCCAGGGUUACACACGUGAUACAAUGCGUCGUACAAUGGGGUGGGAAGCCGCGAGGUGGAGCCAAUCCCAAAAAGCGGUUGUCAGUUCGGAUUCGAGUUUGCAACUCGACUUCCGGAAGGUGGAAUUGCUGGUAAUCGUGGAUUAGCAUACCACGGUGAAUACGUUCCCGGGCGUUGUACACACCGCCCGUCACACCACGAAAGUCGGUUCACCAGAACGGCCGGGCUAACUUUUCAUGGAGGCGCAUGCCUAAG